rnacentral:rRNA from 1 species
UCAAGCUACUAAGGGCAUGUGGCAGAUGCCUUGGUGCCAGGAGGCGAUGAAGGACGUGGUAAGCUGCGAUAAGCUUCGGGGAGCCGCUAAACAGGCUUUGAACCGAAGAUCUCCCAAUGGGGCAACCCAUCCAGAGUAAUGUCUGGAUAUCCUUUUGAUGAACACAUAGUCGAAGGGAGGCGAACGAGGGGAACUGAAACAUCUAAGUACCCUCAGGAAAAGAAAGAAAAAUCGAUUCCCAAAGUAGUGGCGAGCGAAAUGGGAGGAGCCUAAACCGAAUAUACUUAUAACCCGUGAGUGUUGUAUAUUCGGUGUCAUAGGGUUUUAUCAGAGGUCUUCACGGAGAUCUCGGAGAGUUACAAAACUGUUCUUUAGAAGAAUAACAUGGAAAGGUUAACCACAGAGGGUGAUAGUCCCGUAAGCGAAAAAGAACAGUCUCUCUGGGUAAAACCCUGAGUACCACGGGACACGUGGAAUCCUGUGGGAAGUUAGGAGGACCAUCUCCUAAGGCUAAAUACUACCUGGCAACCGAUAGUGCACAAGUACCGUGAGGGAAAGGUGAAAAGAACCCCGUUGAGGGGAGUGAAAUAGUACCUGAAACCGCAUGCCUACAUGUAGUGGUAGCCCGCCUUUGGCGGGUAACCGCGUACCUUUUGCAUAAUGGGUCAGUGAGUUACUCUAUGCAGCGAGGUUAAGCCGUUAGGUGUAGCCGUAGCGAAAGCAAGUCCGAAUAGGGCGAAUAGUUGCAUGGGGUAGACCCGAAGCCAGGUGAUCUAUCCAUGGCCAGGAUGAAUCCCGAGUAAUAUCGGGAGGAGGUCCGAACCCACUCAGGUUGAAAACUGAGGGGAUGAGCUGUGGAUAGGAGUGAAAGGCUAAACAAACCUGGAAAUAGCUGGUUCUCCCCGAAAUAUAUUUAGGUAUAGCCUCUCAUGAUAGGUUAUGGAGGUAGAGCACUGAAUGGGCUAGGGCUCCUACAAGGGUACCAAACCCAACCAAACUCCGAAUGCCAUAACCCAAAGUGAGGGAGUCAGACUGCGGGUGAUAAGAUUCGUAGUCGAGAGGGAAAGAGCCCAGACCACCAGCUAAGGUCCCUAAAAUGUGCUAAGUGGGAAAGGAUGUAGGUCCACUAAAACAACCAGGAGGUUGGCUUAGAAGCAGCCAUCCUUUAAAGAAAGCGUAACAGCUCACUGGUCUAGCAGACCCGCGCCGAAAAUUCAACGGGGCUAAGCACAUUACCGAAGCUGUGGAUUUGUCCGCUCGUCGGACAGAUGGUAGGGGAGCAUUCUGCUAACCUGCGAAGGUGUACCCGUGAGGGGCGCUGGAGGAGGCAGAAGAGAGUAUGCUGACAUGAGUAGCGAUAAUGCCGGUGAAAAACCGGCACGCCGUAAGCCCAAGGUUUCCUGAGCAAGGGUAAUCCUCUCAGGGUUAGUCGGUCCCUAAGGUAAGGCCGAAAGGCGUAGCUGAUGGGAAACAGGUUAAUAUUCCUGUACCACCAGAUGGACGUUUGAACGAAGGGGGGACGGAGAAGGGUAGGUCAUCCGGGUGACGGAAUACCCGGUUCAAGCGAGUAGGAGGAGUCUAUAGGUAAAUCCGUAGGCUCAUACUCCGAGACGUGAUGAGGAUCUCGCGUAUGCGGGAAUAAACUGGCUGAUCCCAUGCUUCCAAGAAAAGCCUCGUAGUGAGUUUGUCUGGUGACCGUACUGCAAACCGACACAGGUGGGCGAGGAGAGAAUCCUAAGGCGCUUGAGAUAACUCUGGUUAAGGAACUUAGCAAAAUCACACCGUAACUUCGGGAGAAGGUGUGCUCAGGUUGGUGUAAGAACUUGCUUCUGAAGCUGACUUGAGUCGCAGUGAAGAGGGGGUGGCGACUGUUUACUAAAAACACAGGACUCUGCAAACUCGUAAGAGAAAGUAUAGGGUCUGACGCCUGCCCGGUGCUGGAAGGUUAAGGGGAGAUGUCAUUCUGAGUUCAUCGGGAGAAGCAUUGAACCGAAGCCCCAGUAAACGGCGGCCGUAACUAUUGAAUGGACCACAGUAGUUACGUAAAAAAAUCUGGCUAUAUGCUGGAAAAUCCUGUUAAGCUGAUGGUACUUCUGCCAUUAAUGGGUAGAACGUGACAAUCCAUCAGAUAGGGACAAUCAGCAGGAAAGGUCUGAAGGAGGAUAAAUGAGACCUGAAAUAGGUUUCUAUCUGGCUGGUUUUGCCGAUGGUGAAGGAAGCUUUAAUGUUUCUUUUAGACCACGGCAGGAUUAUAACCAGCCAUGGAAGAUAUCAAUGUGUUUCAAUGUCUCCCAGAAGGAAAAAGAGAUACUUGCCCUUUUUAAACAUCACCUUGGAUGUGGAACAUUAAGGGCAAGACCAGAUGGUAUCUGGUAUUUCGAGGUUAAUAAUUUUAAUGCCAUCUGGGAAAAGGUAAUCCCUUUUUUCAAGAAGUACAAAUUCCUCUCUGCAGAAAAGAAGAAAAAUUUUUCAAAAUUUUGUCAGAUUGCAGAGAUAAUCAACAAAAAAGAACAUCUCACAGAGGAAGGUAUUAAAAGGAUAUUGAAGAUACGUAGUGAGAUGAAUCAGGGAGGAAAAAGGAAAUACAGCGAUGAUGAAAUCCUCAAGAAACUUCAGAAAUCCUCAGAGACUAUACGCCAGAUCUCGAGCAAUCGGGAAUGAUAUAGUCCGGUCUUUCGGGAAACCGAAAGUUAACAGAAACGAACGGUCCUAAGGUAGCGAAAUUCCUUGUCGGGUAAGUUCCGACCUGCAUGAAUGGCGUAACGAUUGCCCCACUGUCUCAACCAGGGACUCAGCGAAAUUAUAAUGGGGGUGAAGAUACCCUCACCCCGCGGCAAGACGGAGAGACCCCGUGAACCUUUACUAUAGCUUGACAGUGAACUUCGGGAUAGUAUGUGUAGGAUAGGUGGGAGGCUAUGAAGUGCUGGCGCCAGCUGGCAUGGAGCCGUCCUUGAAAUACCACCCUUAUUGUUUUGGAGU